rnacentral:ncRNA from 1 species
AAAGUUUAUUCUAGCUUAAUUAUUUAUAUUUUAUUAUAUGUAUAUAUAAUUUAUUGAAAGAAGAUUUAUAAAUAUUAAAAAUUUUUAUAAAUUAAUGUAAUUAGUAAUAUAUAAUUUUAUAAAUUAAAGAAAUUUAGAUUUAGUUGUAAAAUAGUAAUUAACAAAAAUUGUGCCAGCAGUUGCGGUUAUUCAAUUAAUAAUUAAAUAAUUUUAAUUUAUAAAUUUUAAUUAUAAAAACUAUUAAAUUUAAUUUAUAAAUAUAAAGUGAAAUUUUUAUUUAUAAAAUAGUUUAAAUAUAAAUUAAAUUAAGAUUAAAUAAUUAUGAUUAUAAAAUAGGAUUAGAUACCCUAUUAUUCUUAAAAAAUAUAAUUAAUUAAAUUAGUAUAGUUUUAAAAAUUUAAAGAAUAUGGCAGUAUUUUAUUCAAUUUAGAGGAACCUGUUUUUUAAUUGAUAAUCCACGAUUAAUUUUACUUUAUUUUAUUAAAUUUAUAUAUCGUCGUUAUAAAAGUUUUUUAUAAAAAUUAAAAAAAAUUUUAAAAUUAAAAAUUUAAAUUAAAUCAGAUCAAGAUGUAGUUUAUAAUAAAGAUAUAAUGGGUUAUAAUAAAAUUAUUUUUGGAGAUUUAAAUGAAAAUUUAAAUUGAAUUUAGAUUUAAGUGUAAUUUAUAUAAGUUAAAUAAAAUGAUUAAAUGUUUUAUAAUAUGUACAUAUUGCCCGUCGCUCUCAUUAUAAGUUGAGAUAAGUCGUAACAUAGUAGGAGUACUGGAAAGUGUUUCUAGAAA